rnacentral:rRNA from 1 species
UGGGGAAUAUUGGACAAUGGGCGCAAGCCUGAUCCAGCCAUGCCGCGUGUGUGAAGAAGGCCUUUUGGUUGUAAAGCACUUUAAGCGAGGAGGAGGCUACCGAGAUUAAUACUCUUGGAUAGUGGACGUUACUCGCAGAAUAAGCACCGGCUAACUCUGUGCCAGCAGCCGCGGUAAUACAGAGGGUGCGAGCGUUAAUCGGAUUUACUGGGCGUAAAGCGUGCGUAGGCGGCUUCUUAAGUCGGAUGUGAAAUCCCUGAGCUUAACUUAGGAAUUGCAUUCGAUACUGGGAAGCUAGAGUAUGGGAGAGGAUGGUAGAAUUCCAGGUGUAGCGGUGAAAUGCGUAGAGAUCUGGAGGAAUACCGAUGGCGAAGGCAGCCAUCUGGCCUAAUACUGACGCUGAGGUACGAAAGCAUGGGGAGCAAACAGG